GCUUACGGCCACACCCUGGUUCACGCCCGAUCUCGCUUUGAUCUCGGAAGCUAAGAUAGGUUGGGCCUGGUUAGUACUUGGAUGGGAGACCGCCUGGGAAUACCAGGUGCUGUAAGCU
rnacentral:rRNA from 1 species